rnacentral:rRNA from 1 species
UAGGGGAUCUUCCACAAUGGACGCAAGUCUGAUGGAGCAACGCCGCGUGAGUGAAGAAGGGUUUCGGCUCGUAAAACUCUGUUGUUAAAGAAGAACAUAUCUGAGAGUAACUGUUCAGGUAUUGACGGUAUUUAACCAGAAAGCCACGGCUAACUACGCGCCAG